GACGAACGCUGGCGGCGUGCCUAAUACAUGCAAGUCGAACGCAGUGGGGACGGGUGAGUAACACGUGGGUAACCUCCCAUCAGAGGGGAUAACACUUGGAAACAGGUGCUAAACCGAUACUGAUGGAUGGACCCUCGGUGCAUUAGCUAGUUGGGGAGGUAACGGCUCACCAAGGCCACGAUGCAUAGCCGGGCUGAGAGGGUAAUCGGCCACAUUGGGACUGAGACCGGUCCCCGACUCCUACGGGAGGCAGCAUUAGGGGAGCUUCGGCAAUGGACGCAAGUCUGACCGGGCAACGCCGCGUGAGGGAAGAAAGUUUUCGGAUCGUAAAACUCUGUUGUUAGAGAAGCGGUAUCUGACCAGAAGGCCACGGCUAACUACGUGCCAGCAGCCGCGGUAAUUG
rnacentral:rRNA from 1 species